rnacentral:rRNA from 1 species
CAGUAAGGCUGAGUAUUAGGCAAAUCCGGUACUCGUUAAGGCUGAGCUGUGAUGGGGAGAAGACAUUGUGUCUUCGAGUCGUUGAUUUCACACUGCCGAGAAAAGCCUCUAGAUAGAAAAUAGGUGCCCGUACCGCAAACCGACACAGGUAGUCAAGAUGAGAAUUCUAAGGUGAGCGAGCGAACUCUCGUUAAGGAACUCGGCAAAAUGACCCCGUAACUUCGGGAGAAGGGGUGCUCUUUAGGGUUAACGCCCAGAAGAGCCGCAGUGAAUAGGCCCAAGCGACUGUUUAUCAAAAACACAGGUCUCUGCUAAACCGUAAGGUGAUGUAUAGGGGCUGACGCCUGCCCGGUGCUGGAAGGUUAAGAGGAGUGGUUAGCUUCUGCGAAGCUACGAAUCGAAGCCCCAGUAAACGGCGGCCGUAACUAUAACGGUCCUAAGGUAGCGAAAUUCCUUGUCGGGUAAGUUCCGACCCGCACGAAAGGCGUAACGAUUUGGGCACUGUCUCAACGAGAGACUCGGUGAAAUCAUAGUACCUGUGAAGAUGCAGGUUACCCGCGACAGGACGGAAAGACCCCGUGGAGCUUUACUGUAGCCUGAUAUUGAAAUUCGGCACAGCUUGUACAGGAUAGGUAGGAGCCUUUGAAACGUGAGCGCUAGCUUACGUGGAGGCGCUGGUGGGAUACUACCCUAGCUGUGUUGGCUUUCUAACCCGCACCACUUAUCGUGGUGGGAGACAGUGUCAGGCGGGCAGUUUGACUGGGGCGGUCGCCUCCUAAAAGGUAACGGAGGCGCUCAAAGGUUCCCUCAGAAUGGUUGGAAAUCAUUCAUAGAGUGUAAAGGCAUAAGGGAGCUUGACUGCGAGACCUACAAGUCGAGCAGGGUCGAAAGACGGACUUAGUGAUCCGGUGGUUCCGCAUGGAAGGGCCAUCGCUCAACGGAUAAAAGCUACCCCGGGGAUAACAGGCUUAUCUCCCCCAAGAGUUCACAUCGACGGGGAGGUUUGGCACCUCGAUGUCGGCUCAUCGCAUCCUGGGGCUGUAGUCGGUCCCAAGGGUUGGGCUGUUCGCCCAUUAAAGCGGUACGCGAGCUGGGUUCAGAACGUCGUGAGACAGUUCGGUCCCUAUCCGUCGUGGGCGUAGGAAAUUUGAGAGGAGCUGUCCUUAGUACGAGAGGACCGGGAUGGACAUACCUCUGGUGUACCAGUUGUCGUGCCAACGGCAUAGCUGGGUAGCUAUGUGUGGACGGGAUAAGUGCUGAAAGCAUCUAAGCAUGAAGCCCCCCUCAAGAUGAGAUUUCCCAACUUCGGUUAUAAGAUCCCUCAA